AUUGAACGCUGGCGGCAUGCUUUACACAUGCAAGUCGAACGGCAGCACAGGGAGCUUGCUCCUGGGUGGCGAGUGGCGCACGGGUGAGUAAUACAUCGGAACGUGUCCUAUCGUGGGGGAUAACUGAGCGAAAGCUCGGCUAAUACCGCAAUAACGACCUGGAGGGUAGAAAGGUGGGGGAUACGGAAACGACCUCAUGCGUAGUUGGAGCCGGCCGAUCGCCCGUAUUAGCUAGUUGGUGAGGUAAAGGCUCACCAAGGCGACGAUCGGUAGCUGGUCUGAGAGGACGACCAGCCACAC
rnacentral:rRNA from 1 species